GGAGAUGAGCUUGGAUGGUAUAAUGGUAUUGAAAGCAGAGCUGUAACUUAUGAAGAGAAGUCUGACGUAGAUAUCUUUCUUAUCCAGGUGAUCCAGUGAUGAAUGCAAGGCCAGCAG